CUUACUUUCUGCUUUCCUCGCUAGGUAAUGUUGUAUAGCACUAUUCUUACUAACAACUACUAAUUUAGCUAUUGUAGAGUAAUAAUUAUAUUGAUAUACUUACUGUCUCUCUAACUAGUGAACUAACAGUCGCUUAUUUUGGGUAGUUUAGAUUUAAUCACGUAACUAACUUACUAACGAUAUCUCCUAUUGCUCAUGCUGUUCUGCAGCUCCGCCUUCCUAUCCUGUCCCUGAUUACUUGCUUAGUUUCAGCGAAGUGUUCGCACCUGUCUCUCGCUGUGACUACGCCAACUACUCAAUGCAAAUUUCCUCUCCCUAAUAUGGAGCCGUAUGUUUUACGUGUUGGUCUAUGUGUACCCAGUUCACGUUUUCGUCUCCAACCUUGUUUUUGUAUUAUUGUCCGUCAUGUCCCUCACCUGUUGUUUAAUUGUUUCGCACUCUCCUCACUCCAGUACCCCGCCUAGUAGGCUAUGUCACUUCCCUUCAUGUAUUUAAACCCCAGUCUUGGAUAGCGUCCUUGUCAGAACGUUCACGUAUCAUAUUUGGGGUUGCCGAUUCUGAGUUGAUUGUGGUUUGUUUGUUUUCAUCUUCGCUUCGUGUUUUUUGACCUUCCGCUUGACUUAUCCCUUGUACCUCUGCAUAUCUGCCUUUUUGGAUUUUUACCUUUGAUUAUUUUCUCACCACUUAUUUUGCUACUCGAGUUGACUUUGUGUUUAUUGGAAUACCUGGCUUGAUUAUUGGACUGUAAAUAACGACGAUUCUGAUUAUCCCUGGGUCUGCGCUUGGGUCUCUGACUGUACGUAACAAUUCCUGUGUCCAAUGAUAUAGGCUAUGUUUUGGUUCUCUUCCCUGUCGAUUGAAAUGUGUGUGUGUAUAUUUUCCCUUUUACCUUUCUUAAAGUAAAACGCACGGUAGCGCGUCACUUUUGAAAGUUGAAAUGGAUAUUUCACUUUGGUCUGACCCAGGUAAAUCUGUGGAGCUCACACCAUUAUAUUUGAAUAUUGUGUACCAACAUCUAAUUACUGAGGACAAGAGAUUAAAUCAGCCUAACGCCAUAACACCAAAGAACCGGUUGGAUAACUUUGACUCAAAGUUUGAGGAAUGUGAAUAGCAGGCAGUGUUUUACGUGUUCGUAGCUUGGUUAAAUUACACGCAAAGUCAAUGUUGUAAUAUAAUAUGGUGUAAUAUAGCAUCCCUCCUUAUACUGCAUCAACACUGAACAGUGUAAUCUCGCACCUCUCUUUUUACUACAAUAGAAUGGACCACUGUCACAUACUUGGGCAAAGUUGUGGGACGCGGACAGGUACGUCCGGUGGACUCUAAGGUGGAGGCUGUGGUUAAAUUCCCAGCUCCCAAAUCGCGCCGCGAGUUGCGGAGGUUCUUGGGGAUGGUAGGUUACUACCGCAACUUCUGCAGAAACUUUUCUGCAGUCGCCUCACCGUUGACCGACCUUCUCAGUCCUAAGACCGUUUACGCUUGGACUGACCAGUGCCAACGAUCGUUUGAGAACGUGAAAGCUUUGCUAGUCAGCACGCCAGUUCUCUCUGCUCCCGAUUUUACCCAUCCUUUCAAACUUACAGUGGAUGCAAGCGACUGUGGGGCCGGAGCCGUUCUUCUGCAAGAAGACACUCUUGGUGUCGACCACCCAGUGUGCUACUUCUCGAGGAAAUUUGACCGACAUCAGCGGCUAUAUUCCACAAUUGAAAAAGAAGCUUUAGCCCUGGUUCUGGCUUUACAGCACUUUGAUGUGUAUGUUGGUUCCUCAUUACGCCCCGUCGUUAUACAGACGGAUCAUAAUCCGCUUGUCUUUCUUCACCGUAUGCGUAAUCAUAACCAACGUCUUAUGCGGUGGAGCUUAUUCCUGCAAGGUUAUGAUUUGGACAUUCGACACAUCCGCGGGCGGGAUAAUGUUGUCGCCGACGCAUUGUCCCGUACAUACGAAUGUGACAAUAAAUAAGGAUGUAUUUAUUGUCUUAAGGGUGGGGGUGUUACAUCCCAGUGUAUUAUAAGGUUAGAUCUAGGGAUGUAAUUUUAAGGGUACUGUUUGGAGUUUUUGGCUGGGUAUUGUCGCGUGCUGGUUUUUCCCUAUACAGGUAGGAGUGCAUCCUGUUGCCGGGUGACCUGCCUUGGUGGAUGCCCAUGACGACCGUCGCGGAGGAACCACCUGGCCAUGCAGAUGCUGCGGAGACCAGGAUGCCUUUACGUCGCCCGGAGACGAGGGAUCGCGGCGCGACUAUAUAACGGCUGGACGUCGUCAUCUCAUCGGAAUCGCCAUUUGAAUAAUCUUCUUGAGACUCAUCUACUUUGAGCCAUAUUCUCUUCUCGCUCUCCCUUUUGGUUAUUUAGGUUUACCACUUUUAGCUAUUAAUUAUCAAGACUAUAUAAUACUUUAUUUAGUCUCACAAGCCCAGCGUUUUCGGUUCUUCUUUUGGACUUACAAGAACCGACCAUCGGACGACCUUGGACCGCUGUAUGGACUGCCUGGAUCAGUGCUGCGGGAUCUACAGUCCUGUGAGAGUCUUUCAACCCCGAACAGCUGGAAUAAAUGCACUCAGCAAAAAGAGUGUGUGUGUGAGAGAGAUGGAGAGUGGAGAAAUGGAUACAGGUGGAUCAUCUGGUCAUGUUGGGGAAACACAACAUCUCUCUGAGCUGAGGAUUGUGUUGGUGGGAGCAGAGGUAUGUGGGAAGAGUUCAGCAGGAAACACCAUCUUGGGCAAACAGGUGUUUGCACCUGGAAUAAAAACUCUAGAGGGUAAGAAGGUGCAGGCUACCAUAGAUGGGAGGCAGGUCACUGUGGUGGACACACCUGGCUGGAUCUGUUAUUUUCCUGUUGAAGAUUCUCCAGAACUGCUGAAAGACCAGAUUUUGUGGAGUGUGUCUCUGUGUCCCCCUGGACCCCAUGCUUUCCUGCUGUUCAUAAAUCUGGACUCUUCAUUCCAAGAGAAACACAGGAUAGCAGUGCAGGAACACUUGGAGCUUCUCGGCGAAACAGUGUGGAGACACACUAUACUGCUGUUCAGCUUUGGGGACACUUUAAGGGAAAUGACUAUCAAGCAUCUGAUUGAAGGACAGGCCCUCCAGAUGCUAUUAGAGAAAUGUGGUAACAGGUACUAUGUUCUCAGCAAUAAGAACAGCAGUGGGGUCUCUCAGGUCUCAGAGCUACUGGAGAUGAUAGAGAAGAUGGUGGCAGGUAAUGGUGGCUGUCAUUUUCACAUGGGGAGGAAACUUCUACAGGACAUGGAGGAGAAAAGGAGGAUUACGGAAGAACGAGCCAAUCAGAGAGUAAGGAAGGUCCUGGAACACAGAGUGACACUCCAACGCCUCCUUAGAGGGGAUGCCACCCGUCCCUCAGAGCUGCGGAUGGUGCUUCUGGGGUGGGUGGCUGGGGGGAAGAGCUCGACAGGAAAUACCAUUCUGGGCAGAGAGGAGUUUGGAGUUUGGAAAAGAACCGCACAGUGUGAGAAGAAGCAAGGUGAAGUCAAUGGGAGGCAGGUCACUGUGGUUGACACACCUGCCUGGUGGAAGUUUAUGCCAGCUAAGCUCACACCUGAUUGGAUAAAAGAGGAAGCAAUGAAGGGGUUGACACUGUGUGACCCCGGACCCCAUGCAAUUCUACUGGUCAUUCCUGCAGACACAUCAUUUCAAGAAACACAAAGGAAAAUAAUUCGAGACAACAUGAAACACCUUGGAGAGAGAGUGUGGGGACACACUCUGGCGCUCUUCACCUGGGGGGAAAAGCUAGGAAACCACACCAUCGAGCAGCACAUAGAGAGAGAAGGACAGGCCCUCCAGUGGCUUAUAGAGAAAUGUGGGAACAGGUACCAUUUUCUCAGCAAUAAGGAAAGGGGGGAUAUCACCCAAGUCGCAAAGCUGCUGGAGAAGAUUGAGGAGAUGGUAGCAGGUCGAACUGUCCUUCCUCUCAAGACUGAGACACAAAGUGAAGUUAUGGAGGAGAUAGACGAGAAAGACAGAGAGACCAGGGGGGCUGAUCUCAGCACAGAGAAGCAGAAAGUAACAGAGCUGAUGAAAAUUAUUGAUGAACUCUGGGUCAAGAGAGAAGAACAUCUGUUGGAGCAACUGGGUUUGAAUUCUAAACAAAGUAGUGAAGUUCAGCAUCCUGCUGAUAUGCUAAAAGUGUUUGAAAAGGAAUGGAGCAGAACAGAAACAGGCUUGAAGCUGAAGAAAAUUAAUCAAGAAUGUACCACCACCCACAAUGAGGGAGACAUACUCUGUGGAUCAAAGAGUUUGGAAGAGGGGAGCACUCUUACAGAAGCAGCCAACAAGCCCAACAGUGGAUAGAGAGAGAGGAUGCUGCUUUUGAAAAGGAGUGGGGAAGGAGAGAAUGGAUGAUGUUCCAUCACUUUAAAAGGAUGAUGCAGGACACUGCCACACAACCUGUGAGGGGAGUGGGAAGCAUGGAUGAACCUCCAGACUUGUGUGCAGAGACAUCCUCAGAGCCUGACACCUCUCAUGUUGCAAGGGCCUGCAUCAAAGUGUGUGACUGGAUGAGUGAAAAGCAUCAUGGGAAUUCUGCUGCUGCAUCUGGAUAUGAAACAAGUUCUGAAAUCAGCAAGACAGAGGCCUCUGACAUCACAGAAAGAGACAAGGGACUAGAACACUGUGGGACUGCAGAUGCAUGAAACUGACCACAGUAAUAUAGCAUCACCUUAUACAACAUCAACUCUGCACAGUGUAAUAUAGCACCACUCAUUAUACAACAUCAACACUGCACAGUGUAAUAUAGCAUCACUCCUUAUACUGCAUCAACACUGAACAGUGUAAUAUAGAACCACUCCUUAUACAACAUCAACAAUGAACAGUGUUAUAUAGAACCACUCAUUAUACUAAAUCAACACUGAACAGUGUAAUACAGCAUCACUAUCAGGGUCUCAGAACAGAGGAUCCAGAUGCAUGACUCAUACGGAGGUUUCUUUGUCAUAAAAGUCUUUAUUACCAGAUAGCAGGUCAGACAAGCGAGGUUCAAAAGCCAACAAACAGAUACAGCAGGGAUAACGCAGUUUGUAAUAGAUAGUCCAGGAAAUGGGUUUCCAACAAACGGAUCAUAUCAAUGGUAAUCCAAAGAGUAGUAGUGGUCACAGGCGAUGGGUCGAAAAGAGACAGGUGGAAUAAGCUAAACUCGGAGGUCGGGGACGAAAUACAGUGGUGUGAAAAAGUGUUUGCCCCCUUCCUGAUUUCUUAUUUUUUUGCAUGUUUGUCACACUUAAAUGUUUCAGAUCAAACAAAAAAAAUUUUAAUAUUAGUCAAAGACGGCACAAGUAAACACAAAAUGCAGUUUUUAAAUGAAGGUUUUUAUUAUUAAGGGAGAAAAAAAAUCCAAACCUACAUGGCCCUGUGUGAAAAAGUGAUUGCCUCCCCUGUAAAAAAAAAAAAAAAAAAAAA